rnacentral:rRNA from 1 species
UGGGGAAUAUUGCACAAUGGGCGCAAGCCUGAUGCAGCCAUGCCGCGUGUAUGAAGAAGGCCUUCGGGUUGUAAAGUACUUUCAGCGGGGAGGAAGGGAGUAAAGUUAAUACCUUUGCUCAUUGACGUUACCCGCAGAAGAAGCACCGGCUAACUCCGUGCCAGCAGCCGCGGUAAUACGGAGGGUGCAAGCGUUGAUCGGAAUUACUGGGCGUAAAGCGCACGCAGGCGGUUUGUUAAGUCAGAUGUGAAAUCCCCGGGCUCAACCUGGGAACUGCAUCUGAUACUGGCAAGCUUGAGUCUCGUAGAGGGGGGUAGAAUUCCAGGUGUAGCGGUGAAAUGCGUAGAGAUCUGGAGGAAUACCGGUGGCGAAGGCGGCCCCCUGGACGAAGACUGACGCUCAGGUGCGAAAGCGUGGGGAGCAAACAGG